CCUAUUAGCCAUAUCUCAGGGUGAGUGACUCUCCUUUCUUCAUUGUGGUGAUGGUUGGGCCAGAUGGUGGUUGGCUUAGCUCAGGUUAUUGGCAGUUUUCCAUCUGCUGAUCGUUUUCAAAGAGCUCAAGUAUUAAAAAAUAUGCAUUUGACAAAAAUACAUAUGAAGAAAUCAGGCUCAACCCAAAGGUAUCCCUUUUUACUUUAUUCUUUUCUGAAGUAUGACAGAGGAGUCAAAUAAUUCUUUACAACUAUACCAGCAUUGAAACAGUUGAGGUGUUUCAAAUACAUGCUAAACCAAACUCUGGUUUAUAACACAUAAGAAAUGACAGAACUAUCUAAAUGACCAUCUACAAAAAGACCAGUACAUUUUCAAAAAAAAAACAUAGCUCAACCCUCCUUCACGUUCUUCUCUGAUUAAUCUAAAGGGAGACCAGCUGCAGCAGUCUGAAGACAAAUCCCCCUUCGGGCUGUGGAAACUUCUGGAAAGCCAGGACCACACUUAGCAGAGUACCGAGAGAAAUAUCGUUUUCCUUCGAAUGGAUGGAUGGAUGGCCAAGGAUGGAUGGUUCUGUCCAUGGCUGUGCGGAGGGCUCACGAUUCACUUGUGUGGGGGCGAAUCAUCAGCCAGUGCUUCUGGAAUUGGAAGCGUCCCUGGCUUCUGUAAAUAAAUGUAACAUCUGGUGGCACUGAGCCUUCCCCCAGCUCCCUUCUUCGCGACCUUCCUUUGCGGGAGGAAAAACUGUAGAUGCCGUGUCCGUCGGCAACAACAAAGUUAAAAAAAACCAGCCCAACCAAACCUGACCCACCCAACAGAAUCACCAUCGGCAGGAAAUGGGCCCGCUGGAUUCCGCUCUACUUCGGGGGCAGAAAGGAUGCGACAGAUACGUCUAGCAGUCCGACCGUGCCCGAAGACUUUAAAAUCACGCUGUUUUUGAGGGGAUGUGUGUGUGGAGGAGGAGGCACAAAAAAAUGUCUUUGAGCCUGUGAUGGUCAACACCCAGGAGAUGAAAGGCACGUUUUGUGAUUGGUAAUUGUUGUGUAGCACUACACAUGGUGCGAAAAACAACAUCUGCAACUCCAGUCCCACCUCCUUAAAUGUGGGAGAAAAACAAGUGGACAGAUGGAACGGUGUGAUUAUUU